rnacentral:rRNA from 1 species
AUUGAACGCUGGUGGCAUGCCUUACACAUGCAAGUCGAACGGCAGCACGGGGGCAACCCUGGUGGCGAGUGGCGAACGGGUGAGUAAUGCAUCGGAACGUGCCCAGGAGUGGGGGAUAACCCGGCGAAAGCCGGGCUAAUACCGCAUACGACCUACGGGUGAAAGCGGGGGACCGGAAGGCCUCGCGCUAUUGGAGCGGCCGAUGUCUGAUUAGCUAGUUGGCGGGGUAAAGGCCCACCAAGGCGACGAUCAGUAGCUGGUCUGAGAGGACGACCAGCCACACUGGGACUGAGACACGGCCCAGACUCCUACGGGAGGCAGCAGUGGGGAAUUUUGGACAAUGGGCGCAAGCCUGAUCCAGCCAUGCCGCGUGCGGGAAGAAGGCCUUCGGGUUGUAAACCGCUUUUGGCAGGAACGAAACGGCGCAAGCUAAUACCUUGCGCUAAUGACGGUACCUGCAGAAUAAGCACCGGCUAACUACGUGCCAGCCGCCGCUGUAACAC